ensembl:lncRNA
GUGCUUGACCCUGAGGUCAGGGGUAAGAGAGGAGCCAGCGAGGGAGUGGGGUCAGGGGAUGGGACAAAAUCUAGAGCUGCCCAGAAGCCUUUCCUGGUGGCCUGCCCAGCUGUGUCAGCACUGCUGCAGGGUCCAGAGCUGUGAGGACAGAGGCAAGACGCGGGCCGGCGGUGUUCAGUGCGGAUGCUCAGCUGCCUUCCGGGGGCCGCGCUCAGUGUACCCGGCAUGUCCACGUCAUUUUUGUACUAAGACAGGAUCGGAUGGUCCGCCCCGGUUUUGUGCGAUCCCUUUGCAGCAGGAAGCCUUCUGAAGUUUGCACAACACAUCUCCUUCAGGAGGACGUGGACCUCACCUAUGGAAGCUGGGACCAGGGUGAGGCCACUACACCCAUCGUGGGAGGAAGGAGCCGUGGAAGAGGCAGGGACCUGCCGUGACCAUGAGCCUAGGCCCUGCUCCUUCUUCUGUGAGCCGGACAGUCGCUGGGCCCUGCCCUGGAACCGUCCAUCCCCAGGGAGGAAGAACACGGUAAUGAUCAUGUGAACAGCAGGGUAAUUUCAGCCAGGUGAGGACAGAGUCGCAUGGGCCGGUGGCGGGGGGCGGUGUUCUUUUAGAUGGGCCUCAUCUGUUCUCCAUCAGCCCUCAGGACCCCGUUUUAUAGCCCAAGAGCUGGGCUCAGUUAGCAACUCGCCCGCAGUCACAAAGCAAAGCACGAACCCCAGGCUGACCCCGAAAUCCGAGCCCCCCACCCCCAACUCCCACCAUUAGUGGAGAGAAGCAGACAGAGCAGAGAAGGAAGCCGUCAUCCCUGGCCCUGACCCCUCGCCUGGCUUCCUUGCUGCCCUGCCGGCUUCCACAGUCACCUCCUGCAGCCCGUCUCCACCCAGCAGCCUAGCAGUGCCUCCUCCAAGCGUGCCAGCCCCAACUCAGGCCUUCCAAUGGCCUGCAGGUCCAGAGGCCCUGUAGAAGCAGCAGCUAUAAUGGGGGGUGUUAAUGAAGCCCGUAAGGAACCUGGGAUCUGAGACCGAGGGGAGGGGCAGGAAGGCCUCUCAGAGCCUGAGGGAGAGAGCGCGUGUUCAUAGAUGUUGCCGCGUCCUCCGUUUCCUCCUGAACUGAGAUCUGGGCCGCCGGUGGAAGGGCAGGUGUUGGCAGCCUGGGAGGAGCAGUGGGACCCGGUCUGCGCGUCCACCUCUGCGGGAGGAGCGGACGGAGGCCGCCCUCUGGGGACGUGGAAAGGCCUUCGGGAGCCUCGAGAGAACACAGCUCCUGGGAACAGGCUGCUGUGUCUCUCAAGGGCAGAGGGUGGCCUCGUGGGCAGCCCCAUUUCAGACUGGCGUCAAGAAACCAGACUGGCUCCAGAUCCCCCCUGAAUGACUGUGCAACUGCGGGCAAGUCUCGCCCUCUGUUAGGCUCAGUCACCACAGCCCAAAGUGAGGGGCCAGAUGACACCUGGCGCCCCGCCAGCUCUUUAAUUGUUCCUUCUUCUGCUGAGCCCAGAGUCUCCCCUGGGAGUUAUUUGGAGGAGCCCCAGGGAGCUGGAAUCCUAGUGGUGACCAGCAUCCCCCCAAGUGCAGCUGGGGUCAGGGCGCCAGGCCACGGCGGAGCAGGAGGGGGACGGACCAGGUCCCAGGAGGAAGAAGAACACAGGCCACGGAUUUCGUUUUUUUUUUCUUUCUUUACUAUUUUUCUCUUUUUAAUUACUGCCGGUCUUCCAGUGUUAAUAAGAGCACUGACUUAGCUCAUGUGCAGAAUCGUCAGACUGACACCAUUGGGAUCUCAUCGCCGGUAUGUACAUACGGACCGAGUUUCGUUCUUACCGGAACAGUGAAACACCGCACCAAACUAACUCAACCGUUUCUACUUCACUUCUGGAUUCCACCCAGACUCUGUAUGGAAGCUGGCGGCUCCCUCAACGUGCUCACCCUGAAUCUCACUGCACUCUCCCCCACACGGUGUGGGUCCCCAAGAACUCUGCACACGUGGGGCAUCUCAAACGCUUUACGAGGAUGGGGCUGCAAGGAAUGGUGGUGGAUGUGCAUAUGGCGGAUCUCCUGGGCUCACGGGCACGCUCCACCCUCUCGUUGGACUUCACUUAGAAAACACAAGUUCAAAGAUGAAAGUACGCAGCAGAGCAUUAAAUCUGGCACAGGUCACACGCCCAUGAAGUCAGCCCUGCCUCUGGACAACAGCCAGCAAGGAAGUGAACCUGCCGAUGAACUUGGAAGUGGAUCCCCCCCAGCCGGGCCCUGAGAUGCUCACUGGCCCAGCCAAUACCUCCAUUUUACAGACCCAGCUAAGCCAUGCCCAGAUUCCCGACCCACAGAAAGUGUGAGAUAAUAAAGUGUGUUGUUUUAAGC